UUUCGAGGUUUUGUUUUUUUAUUUUUGCACUUAACGAACGUCUUAGGGCGUGAGGUAAAUAUUUUCUCAACAAUAUUUUUCUAUUUGAUUGAUCAAUACUUUUUCUAAAAAAUUAAAUUCAUAUUAUUAUAUCAUAUUAUAUUUGUCUAUCCUCCUCCGCUUCAUCUAUUUUUGGGUGAGUUUAAUAUGCUUUUUUUUCUGAGUUUUUUGUUUUUGUCACGGAACUUGGGUUGUAUUUUUGUGGUCUUGCAAUUUUGACCUAGGGUUCUGAAUUGGAGAUUAAAAUAUACAUCUUAGAAUUUUCUAUGCAUUUAGAACUCGCGAGGUGUUCUAUUUUUGUCUCUAUUUUUCCCCUUCUAAAUUCUGGAAGAUCUAACAGAGAAGAUUCUUAAGAAUUUGAGUACUAUGAUGUUCGUGGUGUUAGUUUUUCAGCAUCUAUAGAGCAAGUGAUACGUAGGCCCAUAGUUUCAAGUAGCCAAAUUGGCUUGCUUGAUUGAGUCCGCGGAAGCCACCAUGGAGAGCCACCGGUGAUGUAUAUGAAAAUGAGGGAAGUCAACAAGAAAAUCCAAAACUUCGUCAUGUCGUUUUAAUAAUUUGUUCGGUUUAACUUCCAGUAUUUUCUUCGCAAUUGAAUGUUAUAUCUUCUCUUUGUCAUAUCUUGAUAAUCUGUACACUCGAAAAAUUGUUAAGAAUAAGCAAGGAUUCAGUAGGAUGUAUAUCUCUAAAACAAGAUCACAAGUAAUCUAAAAUUUGAGACCAAUUAUUAUGCAACUGAAAAUUCAACUUCACGAACGUCUUGAACCGACGACCUUUUAUGCCUUUGACCAAUAGGAUAUUAACAUAAGUUUACGUGUGCUGAACAAAGGUGCUUGCAAAGCACAAUGAUCCUUGAAUCAGAGUCGUUAUUGAGGACGACACAGUUUUGUGUACAUUUAUCCAAGGUUGGAUCAACGUAGUGGGUUGUGCAUAAUCUUCUGUACUUUGGACCUACACAUUUAGCGUAUCUAAUGCUUUGGGUUUUUAUAUCGGAUUAACUAUCUGCUUGGUCAUAUGACCAAGAAGGAACCCAGUUGUUAUCAUUUAGUGAAAAUACUAUAAACAAUGAUGUUUUUUAUGUGGAGUUCUAAAUAAUUGUGAUUAAGGCAUUUCAUUUGUUCUUCACACUGGAAAAUACUGCCAAAUUAUUUAAUCAAAAGUGUUGCAUGAGUUUGCAGAAGAUACAUUUAAUUCAAGCUUCUCAAACAAAUGUAGUAUUGUAUUUAACAUGUGCGAUGGGGAUAAUGUACUUUAAAAGGGAGAAGUUGGAAUUUUACCAUGGUAAUAUUUGUAUUUCAUUUUGAGAAACUUCUGCUCAAUCAACCCUUUCCUUUUUAGGAUUUUAAAUUUGGCGGAGCUUCAUUUCAAAGGUGGACCAAACAAUGAAAAAGUCUCCAAAUGCAUAUAGGGUUUUUUGUUGGAGUUGAUUGGAAGGACGGCUGAAGAAGUUGCUAAUUCUGAUAUGUGAGUUCAUACUAAGAGGCAAGCACAAGAAGGAAAUUAAGAAGUUAAGCUGGACAACCAUAAAGGUUUUGGAUAGGUUUAAUUGCAUACACCAGGAAAAUGCUCCUCAGCCAUCCCAUUCAACAAAUAAUUUCGUUGAUUUUUAGGUGGACAUUAAUGAAAAAUGUUAUUUCUCCAGUUGUUGGUGUGAUGCAAGCAGUGUCAGCUUCCAUAUGCUCUUCGAUGCCACAUAACAUUAUAAAAAAGAAUGGCACCAAGUGCACUGCAUAAAGAUUAGAAGCUGGGAUGCCUUGGGUGGCAGUGCAAUGACUACAGAUUAAGAAUUCUUCAAGCUAAAAAGUAACAACUUACUGCUCUACUACUUUGAACAUGGAAGAACAAUAACGGCUUGCGGUGGAUAAAGUUGGUCGACAAACUCAGAGACGGGAGCGCUUUGCUGCAAGCUCUCAUGUUGACAAAUGUCUAUGUUGUGCACUUUAUAUGUAACCGAGGAAAAUUGUAAGAAAGUAGUAUAUUGUUCAGUUCAUGGAAUUCUAACGACUAUACAUGUAUUAGGAAACUUAUGCUACUUCUAUGCCAUUAUAUUUAAUGCAUAAUCAUUUUA